rfam:Salmo salar isolate Sally breed double haploid chromosome ssa25, whole genome shotgun sequence.
UUCUCUCAACACUGUAAAUCACUUUGAAUAAAAGCGUCUGCUAAAUGGAAUAUA